rnacentral:lncRNA from 1 species
ACAUUAGAUACACUUUCUGCCUGAGGUAUAGAAGAUGGCAAUUUAUCCCAUUGUUUGCUACUACACAACACAGAUUGUACAUUUUCCAACUGCCUAUACUGAGGUCCAUAUCAUCCACUGCCUAGUCCCAGUGACAAUACUGCACAGGUUCUAAAAAGCCAGAACAACUCUCCUUUGAAGCUAAGUUCAUGACAAGUAUUGGGAUGUGCAAUGAAGAAUCUUUAGGAAAGAGAAGAUAACAGAUUUGAUGAUUCUCACACGGCCACACCUAGACUGUCUUCAUGCUGCUAACAAAGGACGCCCCUUAGCAUUUCGAAUAGGUCACCAAGACAGAAUACCAGAGAGAAAUAUGUGUUACCUGAAGAUGGAAGAAGACAAGCAAAAUGAGUUGCCGGGAGAACCAUGUCCUUCAGAGUUGCUUGUGAUGGUGUAAUUAUUUCCUUGAUGUUUAAGCAUAUUUCAACUCUGCAAAGAUUUGGAAUUGAAGGCAGAAAUGUGUAUGUGAAUCAAAGCCACGUACUCAUAUUUUUAAUACGGUACAUUUAAAACUAUGUAUGCAUUUGUUAAAUUUCCAAGAAUUUGGCCAGAA